UGAAUAGCUUGGCUGAGGUUGUGAUGAAGGACGUGGCAAGCUGCGAUAAGCUUGGGUGAGCUGCAUGCAAGCAUUGAACCCGAGAUUUCCGAAUAGGACAACCUUUUAUUCCGAGAUGGAAACAUACGCCGGGAAUUGAAACAUCUUAGUACCGGCUGGAAAAGAAAACAAUUGUGAUGCCCCCAGUAACAGCGAGCGAAAAGGGCAAAGGGCAAGCUGAAUCUUGCUUCGAAAGGAGUGUAGAGAUGUGGCGAGUGAAUCCCUAAGUAUGCGAGUUGAAGUGCACUGGAAGGUGUCACCUUAGAGAGUGAGAGUCUCGUAAACAAAGCAUAUAUGGGAUUGCUCAGAAAGAGUAGUGCUUCCCGGAUUGGAAGCAUGAAUACGGCAGAAUUAACUGCCAACCCUAAAUAUAAACCUCAGUCCGAUAGCGUAAUAGUACCGCGAGGGAAAGCUGAAAAGCACUCCUAGAGGAGGGUUAAAAGACUUGAAAUCUGCGAGCUACAGUUUGAUACGGCGGUAGUCGUAUCGUACGUUUUGAAAAACGGGCCAGGGAGUUUAUUUAUGUGGCGAAGUUAACGAAAGGAAGCUGAAGCGAAAGCGAGUCUGAAAGGGCGAUAGUCACAUGGGUAAGACCCGAAGCCAGGUGAUCUAUUCCUUAGCAAGGCGAAGUUUCUCGAAAGAGGAAUGGAGGCCUGAACCAGUGUUGUGUGCACGCACUUGGAUGACUUGGGAAUAGGGGUGAAAAGCCACUCUAACCUGGCGAUGGCUGGUUCCUGUCGAAAUAUGCCUUAGUAUAGUCUUGCUUAUUGCUGGCUCAUGAGGUAAAGUACGGAUGAAAUUUGCAGGGGCUAUUGCUCACGGAACUUUUUCCAACUCAGAACUUGUGAGCAGUUGAGCAGGAAUCAGGGGUAGUGUGUAAGAUACUAUUCCGCAACCGGAACAACGGAGCCUUUGGUUAAGGUCCCAAAAUUCAUGCUAAGUGUAUCAAAAGGAGUCCCGAAUCUGAGACAGCGGGGAUGUAGGCUUAGAAGCAGCCAUCAUUUAAAGAAAGCGUAACAGCUCACCUGUAGAGGUUCGGGGCACUGAAAAUGGACGGGGCUAAGCAUGAUACCGAUACCAAAGACAUGCUCAUUAGAGCAUUGUGGUAGACAGGCGUCUUUUCUGCCGAGAAGCAUCUUCGAGAGAAGGUGUGGAGCAGGAAGGAAUGAAGAUCCUGGUGGUAGUAAGAUCAAAUUUUCCUAAGAUUCGGAAAAGGUCGAAAGGGCGCGGUUUCCUUGGCAAUAACAUUUAGCCAAGGGUUAGUCAGCACCUAAGCCAUAUCUUAACUGACUAUGGCGAUGGACAACAGGUUAAUAUUCCUGUACUUGCAUAUUUCAUUGAGUAUGCAGAUAGCUUUCGGAUAGGCGCGGGCUCGAGAGGGCUAAGGACAGAGAAAUCUAUGGAUUGUAAUGAUAAGAAAUGGAUGAAUCUGUUCUGAAUGUGCUGACUCCAAGAGCCAGUGAAAAACUGCAUAUAAGACAUAUGUAAGCUGUACCAAGAACCAACACAGGUGCCCUAGCUGAGAAGGCUAAGACCUGAAAGGAUAAACUGGUUAAGGGAACUCGGCAUAUUAGCGCUGUAUCUUCGGUAUAAAGCGUGUCGAAUUUUGUCCUUGAUAUUAGAGGGCAUUGUUCGAUUUCAAUAACAAGGAUGGCCCGACUGUUUAACAAAAACGUAGCCGGUUGCUAACCCGAAAGGACUUGUAUAACCGGUGAGACCUGCCCAGUCGCGGUGUCUCAAACCUCUUUCCAAAGGGGCUAAGGCCCGUGAAACGGCGGAGGUAACUAUGACCUUCUUAAGGUAGACAAAAGCUGCCUUACGGCAUACAAAAAGUAUGACGCUCAAAGGGUUAUAGAAAGAUACAGUUUAAAAAAAUUAAACCAAGGAGAAAAUCGAGCUAUAUGCUGGAAACUCUCAUUGAAACUUUGUAGGAAAUUAUCGUCGUGAGAUGAUAACAAAAACUGAAAAUCAAAGUGGAGAGACAAUCAGCAGGAAAGGCGAGAAUUAGUAAAAGGAAACAAUUAUAAAUAUAGAAAGAUAAUUUCUAUUAUGAAAUCCUGGAGAGAAUUAGAUAUAUGGAAUAAAAUAUUUUUUCUUGGUGUUGCAUUCCUAAUUUUAGCAUUUUUACUUCCAUUGAUAUUAAAUUUAUUUGGAAAUACUGAAAUGGGAAUUUUAAUUUUUACACCUACAUUUUUAAUCCUCGGAUUUUUAUUAAUACUUAUCUCAAUUUUUGCAAAAAAAUUUGUAAGACAAAAAUAAUUAAUUCUCGAAUCCUCAGACACUAAUACGCUCGACAUCUCAAUGAGAUGAAGAUAGAGUGCGAUCUGCAUGGCGACAUGCAGCAGAUAAUUUGAGUGAUCAAAUUAUAAAUAACAAUAAAAUAAGCGUAAUACCUUGUCGUCUGAAUGGCGACUUGCAUGAAUGGUUUAAUGAGGUUGUCACUGUCCCUAACCAGAACCUUCCGAACACACUGUCCGGUGAAAAUGCCGGAGUCACCUAGUGGGAAGUUAAGACCUUGUAGACCUUUACUGCAACUUGUUGUUGUGGUUUUAUGAGAGGUACAUAGAAUAGGUAGGAGCGUAGAUGCCUAGCUUUGGCAAAGGCGGAGCAACUGUGUAAUACUACUUAUCUUUCAUGAAGCUUCUUACUUGAAAGAGGACAGCAACUGGCGGGCAGUUUGGCUGGGGCGGCGCCCUGUCGAAAAGAUAUCGAUAGGGCCCAAAGACAAGCUCAUCCGGCUUGGAAAUCCGGAGUUGAGUGCAAGGGCAAAAGCUUGUCUGACUGUAUUCCGACCAGUGAGGAAUGCAGGACUGAAAGGUGGGCCUAGCGAACUCACCAUGUCUUUUAAUGGGACAGGUGAAUGACGGAAAAGGUACCUCAAGGACAACAGGCUUGUCGCGCCCGAUAGUCCAUAUUGACGGCGCGGUUUGGUACAUCGCUGUCGGCUCUUCCUAUCCUGGCUGUGCAUAAGCAGCCAAGGGUGUCGGAGUUCACGCAUUAAAAGGGAUCGUUAGCUGGGUUAAGAACGUACAUAUUAAGAGUUGCAAACUAACGAUCUUGUCCAAAUCGCAACUAUCAAAAACGCGGCGUUGCUUGCGAGUAAUCGCAUGAAAAAUAAAAUCAGCUCAUAUCGGUGGAGCCUUUUUCUCCAAAAGAGAAGAUGGUAAUACCGAGGGAAGUCGAUGAAAACCUUUUUAAAGCUUAUAAAUAAGGAUUUUUAUUAUGGGAUUAACUAAAGACAUGAAAGAUUUUUUAGGAUUGUACGGAGGAAUAAUCCGUGCAGCAGAAAAUCUAAAUUAUUUGAAGGAUAAAACUUUAAGAGCUUAUGAUCAUCUAAGAGACAAAAUCUUUUCAGAUUUAUUAGCUCUCGAAUGGUAUUAUCCUUCAAUCUAUGAUGAUUUAGAAAAGAAUCCAAUUCAUUUUAGACCAUCAGAACUAAUGUUAAAAGUUGUUAAUUUUCAUUUGACCCCUUAGAGACUUAGAUUUUCUCUUCAAACAAAGAGAUAGGAAUCGUCAAUUCCAAAAAAUCUGGACUUAUUCUUUGAUAGGAUAGGUAACACGCUGAUCCCCUAAUAAUCAAUAGGAGUCUAAGAACCUUGGUUCUUAGGGUGAAGGUAUAGUCCAUACAAAGCAAAUAAAUAAGCUUUGAGUAAUAUACGUGAGACAGUUUGUGUAAUAUCUACUAGGUGUGUUGUUGUCUGAGUGGAACGAUCCUUUAGUACGAGAGGAACGGGGAUUGGUAGCCUCUAGUGUAGCAGUUCUCAUGGGGAAGCUGCGCAGCCACGCUAUGUAUGGAUAAGAGCUGAAAGCAUCUAAGCUCGAAGCCAUCCGCAAAACGAGACAACUGAGGCCGCCAUAGAAGAUGGCGUUGAUAGAGUUGGGGUGUAAGCACCAAGAACCCGAGGUGUUCAGCCCGCAACUACUAAAAGCCG
rnacentral:rRNA from 1 species